CGGUCCCGCGGCAAGUGUGGACGACAGCGGAAGUAAUCACACUUCUUGAGAUUCCUGCUGGGUUUUGAAAACGGAUUACAGAUAAAAGCUCACACAAUAAGGCCAGCUGUCUUGAGGACCUACAGUGGCAGCCAGCAGUCGCCUCCAACUUCGCUACAAGCAGUGGGGCCCAGCUGCAGCCAACCGUCGACGACCAGAUGGAGGGGACGCCGUGCCUCACUCCACAAACAAAAAUGUGGACAAAAACCGCCCCAUUCACUGAGCUUUUGGGUACCGUUUUCCUCGGGUGCCACAGGCAAAGCGAGGACUAGCAACACGGGACGUCUUUCAGGCAAUGGAAAAGCAGACAGUUGCGGAACACUAUGGGAGGCAAGUGGAGACUCGGACUUUUCGAAAGAAGACCUCAAGGGAGAGGUUCUGGACAUUUGGAUGUACGUUCUGGAAGAAGGCAGACCUACUUGUGGUAUCGGGUGAUAUCUGACAGAGUGGGUGACAGAUUCUGGGUGGUGAACAGCUGCUAUGAGACUUUACUUUUGAGGACACUUUAGGCGGAGAUAUUGUAGAACACAGACCUGUCCGAGGUAACGUGUGAUAUUAGGUCACGUCGAUGACACACUCUGGGCGGUGAACGGCUGCUACACACUCUAUCUUUUGAAGGGACUUUGUAUUUCCAGAGGUCUGAAUGUACUUCAGUGUACAACUCUUAAUUUUUUCCGUUUGU